rnacentral:lncRNA from 10 species
AAGCAAGCUUGUCAAAUUGUGCCUGUGACAGAAGAAAGCAGCUACUUCUCUACUGACAGUCGUGAUUUUCCAAAUUGUUCAAACCUCCCACCAUUUUCAUGGGGAAAGUCUGAAAUAUCUGGACCAAUGAAUAAUCAGAAAUCAUUAAGGAAUAAAAAUCACAUUAAUAAGAACCAACAUGGAAUCUCAACACGUAAUACAGAUGAAGCCAAAGAAACACAGAUAGAUUGAGGCAGAAAAUGCAGAGACUAUGAAUCUUCUUGGAUCCACAUGAAGAAACCCUAUCAUGAACAAUCCUAAGGAGAGACCAACAUGGCAAAGAAGAAAAGCCUCCUGCCAACAAUCGUACGAGUGAACUUGGAAGUUGAUUAUGCCACCACAGUUGAACAUUGAGAUGAGUGCAGCCUCAGGCAAUGGACGUGACUGCAACCUUGGGACAGACCUUGAACCAAACCACCCAGAUACUAUGUUUAUUCGGAAUUGGUGGUUUCUGACAACCCUACAUGAGGAAUUCUGUUGACACCAUGUUUCCAACAGGAUGUGAUCACUUUGUAUCUUUGUCACAUUUUGGUAAUUCUUGUACAAUUUAAAAAUCUUUUUAUUAUUAUAAUAUCCAUUAUGGUGAUCUGUGAUCAGUGAUCUUAGAGAUUACUAUUAUAAUUGUUUUGGGGUACCACAAACCACUCCCAUAUAAGAUGUCAAAUUUAAUCCAGAUGUUUUGUGUAUUCUGACUGCUCCACCAACAAGUCAUUCCCCCAUCUCUCUCCCUCUCCUUGAGCCUUUCUAACCAACAAUGUUUAUGGACACCAUAGGCUCUGAAAAUGAAACAUCUGCUAUUGCUAAAAUAUUUGUGCUCAUUCUUUCCUCAUUUGUUUCAUGGUUACUUAUGAAGAUAUUGAAGUUUUAGUGUACAGGCUACAUGAGUAUUAGAUUAUUCCUAUUACCCCCUUUAGUGUAAUACUAGUCUGAUAGCUUUUAGUAUUAGUUUCAGUUAAAAUUAUUUACUCAUUCAUCUCACAAGUUUUUAAAUUAUGUGGAAACAAUGCAUAUCUACUUGAGUUAUGAGUAUUGAAUGUGGACUUGGGGAAAAUGCACAUAUUAAUAUGGAGAGAAGAAAAUAAAUAUUCUAUAUUUCUUUUCUUGUUUUUGACUUAUUCACAUUAGUUUCCUGCUUUUAGCAUGGUCUUAUUUCUGACUAUCCUGUUAAGUGCUAUAAUUACUGUAGAAAAUAUUAAGAUAUAAGUGCUAAUAUUUCUGUAGAAAAUUUUGAGACAUCUAUGUUCUGAAGCACUAUUACAAAUGUUCAUUGUUUAAAACUUGAGAUACCUAGAUUAUUCUGUAUUACUUUGAGUUAAAAAUUGUCAAUUAAUUUAACAACUAAUUUACUUUAACAACUAGUUUAACUAAUUUGUUAAUUCAUUUAACUUGCCAUAAAAUGAUAAAGAAAAGUAUUCCCCACAAAUGAAGUACAGUAUCCUCACUUAACAUUGUCAGUGGGUUUUUGGCAAUUGCAACUUUAAGUAAAAAGACAUGUAGCAGAUCCUGAGUAACAUCAUUUCCUUCAAAGUAGUUUGAUAGUAUGAUGCUGAUGAGAAAAAUAAAUCAGAUCUAUUAUAUGUAUGUAUGUGUGUAUGUAUAUAUGUAUUUUGGAGACAGGGUCUCACUUUGUCACCAAGGUGUGAAACGGCUUACUCUAGCUUCCACCUUCUGGGUUCAAGUGAUCUUCCCACCUCAGCCUCUCAAGUAGCUGUGACUACAGGCAUCCACCACCGAGCUGGCUAACUUUUGUUUUUUGUUUCUUUGUAGAGACAGUGUUUUGUCAUAUUUUCCAGACUGGUCUUGGACCCCUGAGCUCAAGCCAUCUGCCCACCUUGGCUCCCCAAAAUACUGGUAUUCCAGGUGUGAGCCACUGGCCCAGCCCAGGUUUGUUAUGUGUUGCUUGCUUAAAUUAGAAGUUUCCAAAAACCUAUAAUGUUUAGUAAGAACUUAUUGUGCCUUAAAUAUUGCAAAGAUACCAAGGACGUAUGAAGAAUUGGUUUGGUGAUUAUAAUUUUAUUGUACUCUCUUCAAUAAAAUGUCAAUUUUAAGAACCUCU